GACGAACGCUGGCGGCGUGCCUAAUACAUGCAAGUCGAACGCAUUGGGGACGGGUGAGUAACACGUGGGUAACCUCCCAUCAGAGGGGAAAACACUUGGAAACAGCUGCUAAACCGAUACUGAUGGAUGAACCCGCGGUGCAUUAGCUAGUUGGUGAGGUACCGGCUCACCAAGGCCACGAGGCAUAGCCGACCUGAGAGGGUGAUCGGCAACACUGGGACUGAGACACGGCCCAGACGCCUACGGGAGGCAGCAGUAGGGAAUCUUGCGCAAUGGGCGAAAGCCUGACCGAGCAACGCCGCGGGAGUGAAGAAGGUUUUCGGAUCGUAAAACUCUGUUGUUAGAGAAGCGGUAUCUAACCAGAAAGCCACGGCUAACUACGUGCCAGCAGCCGCGGUAAUUC
rnacentral:rRNA from 1 species